rnacentral:lncRNA from 1 species
AACAAGAAUGGGAUAAAGAGUUGGCUUACAAUCGCCACUUCACACAAUACAUAAAUAAAUCAUACAUCAAUCAGAGUACACACAUUGACCGACUACGGUCAAAGUCAAAAGAAAGAAGAUAACCCAACUGCUAGAUCCCUGAUCGUCCCAACUGGGCUCCACUACUGAACAACAUGAUAAGAAACAACACAACGAACAAGAUCUUCAUCGAGCUCCCACUUGAGCUCGGUUGCGUCACCUGCACUGGUAUCCUCGGCACCUACAACUGUUUUGGUAGAAUCUGUGAGUCACGAGGACUCAGCAAUCUCAUACCCGCGAGAUCAAGACUAUUUAAGCUUAUAGGAAAGGAUGGGGUAAUGAGAUGGAGCUGCAGCAAGCACUAAGCAUAUAAGGUGGCUAACAUACGCAAAUGAGAGCGAGAAGAGAAGAAACGGAACGGUCGUCAACUAGUAAUGAUCAAGAAGUGAUCCUGAACUCCUACUUACGUCAGGCAUAACCCCGAAACCGUGUUCACUUCCCGGACUCCGCCGAAAAGAGACCAUCACGGCUACACACGUGGUUGAUGCGUUUUAAUUAGGGUCAAGUGUCAAGUUCUCUACAACCGGAUAUUAACAAAUUCCCAUCUGCCACAUAACCGCGGGCACGGCUUUCGAAAGAUAAUACCCUGCAGGGGUGUCCCAACUUAGCCCAUUAUAAGCUCUCACGGUCAACGAAGGAUAAAUCUUCUCCCAGGAAGACCCGAUCAGACUCAGAAUCCCGGUUUACAAAACAUUUCGACAAUGGUAAAACAAGACCAGCAAGACCACCCGCUGUGCCGACAAAUCCCGAUAGGAGUUGCACAUAUCUCGUUCUCAGGGCACACCGGAUGAGCAAGACGUCGGGUUGGCAUAGAUCCUGGUUGCCUAGGGGGCGCCGGACAUCGCUCGGUUUGGACCAGCACUCGAAGGAGAACUGGCCCGGGGGUUUAAAAUAAAGAUGACCCUUGAGUCUGCAGAACCCAAGGGAAAAAGGCUUAGGUAGGCAAAUGGUAAAACCAAGGUUGGGCCUUGCUGGAGGAGUUUUAUUCAAAGCGAACUCACAAGGGGGUCCCAUAAAUCACCCAACCGCGUAAGGAACGCAAAAUCAAGGAACAUAACACCGGUAUGACGGAAAACUAGGGAGGCAAGAGUGGAACAAAACACCAGGCAUAAGGCCGAGCCUUCCACCCUUUACCAAGUAUAUAGAUGCAUUAAUUAAAUAAGAGAUAUUGUGAUAUCCCAACAUAAUCAUGUUCCAACAUGGAGCAAUCUUCAACUUCACCUGCAACUAACAACGCUAUAAGAGGGGCUGAGCAAAAGCGGUAACAUAGCCAAACAACGGUUUGCUAGGAAAGGAUGGUUAGAGGCUUGACAUGGCAAUAUGGGAGGCAUGAUAUAGCAAGUGGUAGGUAGCGCAGCAUAGCAAUAGAGCGAACAACUAGCAAAGCAAAGAUAGAAGUGAUUUCGAGGGUAUGGUCAUCUUGCCUGAGAUCCCGCUAGGAAGAAGAACGAGUCCAUGAAGAAGACAAACGGAGGAAGUCGAACGAAUCCUCACAACUCCAGAACGAAACUGAAGCUAACGAGAGAAGCAACCCGGAAAGAAACAAACAACAUAGUAAACAACCACCACAUACACAUGGCAUGAUGCACAAACAAGUAUGAUGCAUGUCCGAUUUAAAGAGCAUGGCAUGGCAAAGUGCAACAAACAACACUACAAAUUAAGUGGAGCUCAAUAUGUAACGAGUUGCAUAUUGACGAAACACCACAUCAAUUAUUUAGUUCUCUCUCGGUUAUGUACCCAACAAUAUUAAAUGUUGAUUAACAUGGCAAGAGGUGAAGCAUAAGUAAACUACCUAUUUAAGCAAGUUAAAUGAGGCCGGAAAUAAUAAACAACAAUUCCAGAAAAUCCCCAUAUCCAUAUUUUAGAUUUGGUACUGUUCUGCCAUAAACGCAAUUUUAAUGUUGUUAAACAGCAAAAUAAAGUGCAGCAAGUUAAUCUAUGCAUUUUUCUACCCCAUUUACAUAUGAAGUUUAUUAAAAUCCGAGUUACGGUUAUUUAGUUAUGAAAUAAAUCAUUUUAACAUGGCAAUCGAGCAAAUUUAAACAAACAACAUUUUAAAUAUUUUAAACAAGGAUGAAAGUUGCAUACUGUUAAAGAACAUGAAAAUAUGAACAAAAUGCAUAUAUGACAUGUUUCAUUUGAAUGCAUGGACCUUUAGUUAUCAACAAUGCAAAACCAGUGGCAUUUCUGCAAAUAUGCAUGCACUUGGAAUUAGACAAAUCGGAGUGAACAUAAAAAAACGAUGCGGGCCGAAUGCUGCGCACUGUGGAAGCCCAGCAGCAGAUCUGGCCCGAAGCGGCUGAGUGUCUGUGAGCAAAAAAAAUAAAAGGAAGCAGUGCAGAAAAUAGGGGCUCCUGGGAUUCGAACCCCAGACCUCCUGGAUGCAGGAGCGUGGUGCGAACCACUGCGCUGCCGUGGCUGAAGUUGAUAGGAAAGGGCGCGGCCCCUUAAGAGAUUGCCCAGGGCCGAGCCUCUCUGUAUAGGCAGAGAAGACGAUGGCUGCGAGGACGGAGCCGGCGAGGUUAGCCGUGGUGAUGACGGGGCUUCUAGGUGCAGGGGCGUGUGCGUGUGCGGGGUGAGGCCAGCGGAGGGGCGCGCUAGGCGAGAACCGGAGCACGGAGAUGCUACUGCAUCUACGCGAGCAACAGAGAACUACAGGCGCCAACCAUGAACGGCGGCCUAGUGGUGAUGAUGCAUGAGGAUAUGCAUGUGAUGUUUGCCGUGUUCUGGAGUUGCACGCGCAGGUGAAAGGACGGGGCAGCCGUGUGCAACUGUGUGUGUGCGCGCUAGGCAGGCUAGGAAAAGGGCGCGGGCGCUCGACUUGGGGCACGACAAGCAGCGGCGAUGGCAACAGGGCACGGUGAGCCGGCGGCAAAGCUGCGGAAGAAGGCGCGAGGCCAGUGGGAUGUCUACGGAGCCAACUGGGCUUCGGGAUGCACGGGAUGCAGAGAGCGUGCUGCUGGAUCCUGAGAAAAAUUCAGAAAACACCGGAGCGGCGAGAGCGCGACGCGAAACCUAUCCUAGGCACGUCUACGGCGAUCGAUGUGCGGCAGGAGGAGAGAGAGGGGGAGCAGGUAUACCUAGCUCACCCUAGGACACGGAUGCAUCGACGUAGAUGAGCCAUCGGCGACGCGGACGAGCUCUAAACCCGACGCGGCUCCUGUCCGAGGAAGAAGAAAGCAGAGGAAGAUGCCAGGCGCGGGACUUGGCGACUCCUUAUGUGACGCAGAUGUAGCAGCGGGCGAAGAGGACAUCGACGGACUUGCCGGACACGAACGGCGAGGAAGAAGAUGAAGGAGUUCACGGCGGCGACAUGGCUGGUCCUUCGGUGCACUCGGGAUGCGUUGGGGGCGAUGGAUCAGAUGGAUUGGCGUGGCUUACCGGGUGGCGGCGGAGAUGGGGGAAAGAGGGGGAUCGGGGGAACCCUAGGGGGGUAGGGGCGAAUUUAUAGGAGGGUCAGGAGGCGUCCAGGAGUCAUGGUGAAACCACGGUGGCCAUGUGCGCUCUUCACUGAGAGUUACUGUGAGAGAGAGGGUGCGUGAGGUGGAAGAAAAAGGUGAGGGGGAGAGGAUGACAGGUGGGUCCAGCCCGGUGCAUGUGGGAAAAAAUAACCAGGGAAGAGAAGAGUUGGGCUGGAUCAGCUGGGAGGAACAUAGUUAAGUGGGCUCGCUCCUCUUAACUGAAAGCCCCUUCUUUUCCUUAUUUCCUCAACCAGAACUUUAGAGAAAAGAAGGAGGUGCUAGAGGUGGAAUAUUUCAGAAAAGAAAAUAUCUCUGAAGUCUUGAUAAUAUGCACAAUUUGAAUAAAUUGGUUUGGCAAUUUUUAGAGGAAGAAAAAUAAUUCAAGUUUGAAUUGAAUUCAAACUUGAGCCAUUUUUUAACCCAACCAAAACAAUCCCAAAAUGGAUGAAAUUUGGCAGAGUGGUUAAAGACAUGGUGAGAAUUUAUAGGAAAAGAGUGAACAUUAUAUGGAAUAGAAAUAAUGCCACCUGAAUAAAUCGGUGAGAAUUGAAAGGACGGAGCUAGAGAUGGGGUGAUGCACUGUGCAAAGAGACUCCGGUUUAGGCGAGAGGGACAACGAAGCACAAGGUUGGUCUCGGAACGGUCAACGAAAGCAAGGGGGACACGACAACUACGAGCGGACGCAAUUUUUAUGAAAACAUGUAAAUGCAAAGCGCAUGAUGCUAUGAGAUGAGAUGCAACAAACAAAUAAAUAACACAGCUGACUCGCAAAACAAGGAAGGCAACUAGAGCAUCGGUCUCGGGGCGUUACAACACUCCACCACUACAAGAGGAUCUCGUCCCGAGAUCUAGGAUGGCACCGGAGAGAAGCAGAAGAGGAAGAGGUAAAACAAAGUUGCUUCUUUGACAAACGAGUGAAACCAAAGAACCUUGAGAAGUCGCAAAGCUUGAAGAAAUGUCACGACGGAGCUGAACAAAAUUUAAAACACUCCGUUAUUAAAGAGGAACAAGGAACAUUGCGAGAACCUUAGUAGGUUGAAGGACAUGAAACAAGAGCUUAACGGAUCAAAAUUAAUAUGAAACACACCGGUAGAAAAGAGAAACAAGGAACACCAUGUGAACUUUGGAGUUAAGUGACGCGAUAGAUAUUUAAACCACUCCGGUUAAAAUAAGAUAGGGAAGGAAUAAGAAUGAUAAAAUUUGGGCAGCACUCCGACUGAAAAUGGAAGGAAUUGAACAUGAUCUCGACAAGAUGAGAGGAUACUCUAUGAAUUUAACAACAUAUUGCCUCCGGAACUAAAGAAAGAAUGGCACAAGGUGUAAGAAAGAUUUCAGACAGCACUCCGGUUGAGAAGGGAGGCAAAAACUUGACAGAAUGGAAAGAACUUGAAAAGAGGGCACGACACUCUAGUUGGAAUGGAAAAGCACGAAAAGAACACGGUCCUCACAAAUCGAGAAGAUGAGUGAAGAGAGCAACAUCACCAUGUCUCCGGAAGAAAUAAAUAAUAGAAGAUAGAUCCUUGGAAUAAAGAAUGGAGAAUAAAAUGCCAACUUCUGCCACAAAUUAUCUUGGAAAGCACCCUUCCAAGAAGGUAAGAACGGAGUAGUUGGAAAACCAACAACGAAAAGAAAAAACUUGUAGUGGGCUUAUGUAAACAUCUCAACAUUAUGAGGUGACAAACGGCCACUAAAGGAAGCCAUUGGUUUGAGUGAGAGCACCAAGGCGAUGAAAAACAUCUUUCACCCAGAGGAUAGGAGAAAACUUGGAUCAUUGAUAAGCACCAUAAUAGCAACAUUCCUUAGGGAAGGCUUUAGGUGAAACACGACACAAGAUAAAUCCAACGAAGAGAUUAUUAUGAGUUGAAACAACUCAUGGAUGAAGAAAAUAAGAUGGGUUUAAAUAUCUCAUUCUUGACAACUUGUGAAUCAUGAAACAUGAAGAAAAUAGUCAAGAGUGACAUAACACCACCUCAAAAGAUCAGGUAGGAAGAAUUGCACUACGGAAUGCAAGAAUGCUUGAGCUCCAACAAGAAUCUUGAAGAACACUUCGAGAAUGAAUUAAAUCCUUGAUGAACCACCCUGUAUAGCCUCCAUGAAGAACUCCGGUAAUAAAAGAAUGAUCAAACGAAAGGGAAAGUUGAAAAGAACUCUGGGAGAAGCCUUGCAAUGAUUAGAUGAAGCUUUGAAAUGAUAUAAUUGAAAUAACUUGGAGCUCCGGAAAGGAAAAUGAGCAAAUGAGAUCAAGAAUUUUUAUGAAUCUCCGGAAUAAGGAAUUAAAUCACUUGGAUGAAACAAGAAUAAGAAUUACAUUAUGCUUAGCCUUCACCAAUUAAAUUGAUGACAAGCAAUGGAUUUAGCAUACUACUUAUGCUCAUAGAAAGGAUUAAGAUAGAUAUUGCGCAAACUUGGGAAGGUCUUCAACGAACCACUGGUAACAACGGAAGAGAAUUCUUGAAUGAACCACCGUAAGAAUUGAAAAUGAAAGUAGCAAAGGCACAAUUCGCCGGGAAGAAUUAGAAAACGAAUAAAGAUACUUGACAGAAUUUAGAUACAUGAGAACGAAGAGAUCGUGAACUCAUUAGAGGAUAUUUGAACGAUGCACCGGAAGAAUAUGGAGAUGACCAAAGAGACAUCAAUUUAGAAUAAUUGAAGAACGAAGCUGAAAACUUAGAACGAAGAAAUCUUAUGGAAUGAUGGCCUUUGGAUGAUCAAGAAAUGAAACAACUCAUGAAAUGCUCCGGAUGGGUAAGAAAAGAAUUCUCACAAUCGAAAACAAUUAUGAGAGGAUGGCAUAAGCUAGAACUAUGAAUCUUCAAGAGAACGGACCAAGAUUUAGGAGAAAUUCUUCUUCGGUCUUCAAAUGUUGAGAAUGACGACGAGAAACACCACCAUGAAUUGUUGAGAUACUCCGGGAUGAAAAUUAGAAAGAUUGAACCAACAAUGAAAAGAGUUUGAAAGAUCUUGGAGAAAGACAUUUGACUGAUGAUAAUUCAUUCUUACAUCAAACUUUGCAAUGAAUUUAAGAAUAACUCCGGAAAAAUUAGAAGAGUCAGGUAAGAUCCUGGAAAAGACCUGUGGGUUAGGCCCACUCAAAGAUACACCGUUGAAUGAUUUAAAAAAAGAGAUUGCGCCAGUUGAAUUAAAUGGCUUGAAUGAGAUAACAACCUCGAAAUAGCUUGAACGGAUCUUGAAUGAAAACACGAAUCUCCUGAGAUAACUUCAACACUCCAGAUAAACAUGAAUAGCAAGAGGUGGAUGAUUAAGAGGUGCACCGGCAUGAGAAAACAUUUGAAACAAGGAAAGGAAUGUGAUUAACACUGAAAACUUGAAUUGAAUCCACUGAAAAAGAAUACGAGAAUGAAGAAUGAUAAUCUUGAAGAACAUCUUCAUGAGAACCACUGGGUAAGAACAUUGAUUAAAAAGAAUGAAGGGACUUCACAUGAAUAAAAUGGAUACUUGGUUAAGACAUAUGAUUCCUUGAAGAAAAGGGUGGGAGGGCGGGAAAAACAAAGGCACCUUGGGACGGAUGAAACAAACACCGUUGAGAAAACUUAGAGUUGAACUUGCGGAUGUUGAAAAGAUCAGAUCCACUUGAAGAGAAGCACGCCGGUUGGAAAAGAAUUAACAUGACGACCUCGAGAUCAAGAAGGAUUAGUAUCCAUAUAGAAAUAUGAGAACACCGUUUAGGAAAGGUAUGGAUUUAACAUUUGACUUCGAAGCAACUCGAAUACCACAACUUAAAACAAAACAAAGGAUUUGGCUUGCGGAAUAAGCCGAAACAAACAUAUGAUAGAGAUUCCGUCCGAAGUUUUCAUGGUGGGGCCCACACGGGCUCGACCGUACAGCACCAUCAUGUACAAGGUAGUGCACAUGACAUACGAAGCGUCCCCGAGUCGGCAUAGCCAAGGACUCUUUAAGACACUACGAGACCACUGUAAAACCAACCGUGGAAAGGCGGACCACUAGACGUCGAACCCCAAUCUCAUCAUGCGUCUGUCGGAAAAAUAUCCUAGGAGCUACUUGAAUUCCCACUUAUAAACUCCCGAAACUUUCUGGUUAUGCAAUCUGGUGUUGGGGAUACAGGGGACACAAAAUAUAUCACCCAAACUAACAAUACCUAGAUCCUGCUGUAUCCAUCCUUCAACACAUAACCAAGAAACCUUCGGAAAUCAUUUACCUCAACCUUCGAAAAGCAUCCGUUAUACGAGUUAUGGCAAUACUCCCGAACUCCCGCCCCAGUACUGGGUGGCGUCGAGGUGAUCUCACCAACAAUUGCAUAAAAGAGAUUUCGAUGUCGGCGAAACUCAGGUAUUCCAGAACUACAACGAUAAAAUUGUGACGACAACACCUCCGAGCUCAACUCCCCGGGACACUGCCACAACCCCUAAAUGUCAGGAGGCACCAAGAACAAUGUUCCCGUCACAAAACCAUCGGAACGAUUCCAAGAUACCCGCGUGAUCCUAAAAAAAUUAGUGAAAUUUGAGGAGAGAAGAGUCAAAACUUCUACGUCAGGAGACCUCACCAAGGCGAUGAAGGGACUGAGGAGUAAAAAGAAUCCUAACACUCUGAUAUAUAUAAUCCUAGACUCAAAACAUUUUCGUUCUACACUUAACAACGCCAGCGAUUCGAUCAAGCAGGGGCUCCUAAGUCGGGGAUGGCUCUGAUUACCAACUUGUAACGCCCACAAUGCGUCUAUAUGUCCCACGUGUCGAGGCACGACUUAGAGGCAUAACCGCAUUGUGGUUUUGUCGCAAGAAGGGUCAUCUUCACACAAUCCCAUGUAAUGAACAAGAAUGGGAUAAAGAGUUGGCUUACAAUCGCCACUUCACACAAUACAUAAAAAAUCAUACAUCAAUCAGAGUACACACAUAGACCGACCAUGGUCAAAGUCAAAAGAAACAAGAUAACCCAACUGCUAGAUCCCUGAUCGCCCCAACUGGGCUCCACUACUGAGCAACAUGAUAAGAAACAACACAAUGAACAAGAUCUUCAUCGAGCUCCCACUUGAGCUCGGUUGCGUCACCUGGACUGGUAUCCUCGGCACCUGCAACUGUUUUGGUAGAAUCUGUGAGUCACGAGGACUCAGCAAUCUCAUACCCGCGAGAUCAAGACUAUUUAAGCUUAUAGGAAAGGAUGGGGUAAUGAGGUGGAGCUGCAGCAAGCACUAAGCAUAUAAGGUGGCUAACAUACGCAAAUGAGAGCGAGAAGAGAAGCAACGGAACGGUCGUCAACUAGUAAUGAUCAAGAAGUGAUCCUGAACUCCUACUUACGUCAGGCAUAACCCCGAAACCGUGUUCACUUCCCGGACUCCGCCGAAAAGAGACCAUCACGGCUACACACGCGGUUGAUGCGUUUUAAUUAGGGUCAAGUGUCAAGUUCUCUACAACCGGAUAUUAACAAAUUCCCAUCUGCCACAUAACCGCGGGCACGGCUUUCGAAAGAUAAUACCCUGCAGGGGUGUCCCAACUUAGCCCAUUAUAAGCUCUCACGGUCAACGAAGGAUAAACCUUCUCCCAGGAAGACCCGAUCAGACAUGGAAUCCCGGUUUACAAAACAUUUCGACAAUGGUAAAACAAGACCAGCAAGACCACCCGCUGUGCCGACAAAUCCCGAUAGGAGCUGCACAUAUCUCAUUCUCAGGGCACACCGGAUGAGCAAGACGUCGGGUAGGCAUAGACCCUGGUUGCCCAGGGGGCGCCGGACAACGCUCAGUUUGGACCAGCACUCAAAGGAGAACUGGCCCGAGGGUUUAAAAUAAAGAUGACCCUUCAGUCUGCAGAACCCAAGGGAAAAAGGCUUAGGUAGGCAAAUGGUAAAACCAAGGUUGGGCCUUGCUGGAGGAGUUUUAUUCAAAGCAAACUGUCAAGGGGGUCCCAUAAAUCACCCAACCGCGUAAGGAACGCAAAAUCAAGGAACAUAACACCGGUAUGACGGAAAACUAGGGAGGCAAGAGUGGAACAAAACACCAGGCAUAAGGCCGAGCCUUCCACCCUUUACCAAGUAUAUAGAUGCAUUAAUUAAAUAAGAGAUAUUGUGAUAUCCCAACAUAAUCAUGUUCCAACAUGGAGCAAUCUUCAACUUCACCUGCAACUAACAACGCUAUAAGAGGGGCUGAGCAAAAGCGGUAACAUAGCCAAACAACGGUUUGCUAGGAAAGGAUGGUUAGAGGCUUGACAUGGCAAUAUGGGAGGCAUGAUAUGGCAGCAUAGCAAUAGAGCGAACAACUAGCAAAGAAAAGAUAGAAGUGAUUUCGAGGGUAUGGUCAUCUUGCCUGAGAUCCCGCUAGGAAGAAGAACGAGUCCAUGAAGAAGACAAACGGAGGAAGUCGAACGAAUCCUCACAACUCCGGAACGAAACCGAAGCUAACGAGAGAAGCAACCCGGAAAGAAACAAACAACAUAGUAAACAACCACCAUAUACACAUGGCAUGAUGCACAAACAAGUAUGAUGCAUGUCCGAUUUAAAGAGCAUGGCAUGGCAAAGUGCAACAAACAACACUACAAAUUAAGUGGAGCUCAAUAUGUAACGAGUUGCAUAUUGACGAAACACCACAUCAAUUAUUUAGUUCUCUCUCGCUUAUGUACCCAACAAUAUUAAAUGUUGAUUAACAUGGCAAGAGGUGAAGCAUAAUUAAACUACCUAUUUAAUCAAGUUAAAUUAGGCCGGAAAUAAUAAACAACAAUUCCGGAAAAUCCCCAUAUCCAUAUUUUGGAUUUGGUACUGUUCUGCCAUAAACGCAAUUUUAAUGUUGUUAAACAGCAAAAUAAAGUGCAGCAAGUUAAUCUAUGCAUUUUUCUACCCCAUUUACAUAUGAAGUUUAUUAAAAUCCGAGUUACGGUUAUUUAGUUAUGAAAUAAAUCAUUUUAACAUGGAAAUCGAGCAAAUUUAAACAAACAGCAUUUUAAAUAUUUUAAACAAGGAUGAAAGUUGCAUACUGUUAAAGAACAUGAAAAUAUGAACAAAAUGCAUAUAUGACAUGUUUCAUUUGAAUGCAUGGACCUUUAGUUAUCAACAAUGCAAAACCAGUGGCAUUUCUGCAAAUAUGCAUGCACUUGGAAUUAGACAAAUCGCAGUGAACAUAAAAAAAGGAUGCGGGCCGAAUGCUGCGCACUGUGGAAGCCCAGCAGCAGAUCUGGCCCGAAGCGGCUGAGUGUCUGUGAGCAAAAAAAAUAAAAGGAAGUAGUGCAGAAAAUAGGGGCUCCUGGGAUUCGAACCACAGACCUCCUAGAUGAAGGAGCGUGGUGCGAACCACUGCGCUACCGCGGCUGCAGUUGAUAGGAAAGGGCGCGGCCCCUUAAGAGAUUGCCUAGGGCGGAGCCUCUCUGUAUAGGCAGAGAAGACAACGGCUGCGAGGACGGAGACGGCGAGCUUAGCCGUGGUGAUGACGGGGCUUCUAGGUGCAGGGGCGUGUGCGUGUGCGGGGUGAGGCCAGCGGAGGGGCGCGCUAGGCGAGAACCGGAGCACGGAGACGCUACUGCAUCUACGCGAGCAACAGAGAACUACAGGCGCCAACCAUGAACGGCGGCCUAGUGGUGAUGAUGCGUGAGGAUAUGCAUGUGAUGUUUGCCGUGUUCUGGAGUUGCACGCGCAGGUGAAAGGACGGGGCAGCCGUGUGCAACUGUGUGUGUGCGCGCUAGGCAGGCUAGGAAAAGGGCGCGGGUGCUCGACUUGGGGCACGACAAGCAGCGGCAACGGCAACAGGGCACGGUGAGCCGGCGGCAAAGCUGCAGAAGAAGGCGCGAGGCCAGUGGGAUGUCUACGGAGCCAACUGGGCCUCGAGAUGCACGGGAUGCAGAGAGCGUGCUGCUGGAUCCUGAGAAAAAUUCAGAAAACACUGGAGCAGCGAGAGCACGACGCGAAACCAAUCCUAGGCACGUCUACGGCGAUCGAUAUGCGGCAGGAGAAGAGAGAGGGGGAGCAGGUAUACCUAGCUCACCCUAGGACACGGAUGCAUCGACGUAGAUGAGCCAUCGGCGACGCGGACGAGCUCUAAACCCAACGGAGUUCCUGUCCGAGGAAGAAGAAAGCAGAGGAAGACGCCAGGCGCGGGACUUGGCGACUCCUUAUGUGACGCAGAUGUAGUAGCGGGCGAAGAGGACGUCGACGGACUUGCCGGACACGAACGGCGAGGAAGAAGAUGAAGGAGUUCACGGCGGCG